rnacentral:precursor_RNA from 9 species
UUGUUCUUCGAAGGACAGGGCCGCCGGAGGAGUUUCUCAGGACUGCUAAAUUGUGAAUCGGCUAAUUUGGCACGCCUGAAAAACUACUCUUGUAGGUCCUCAGACGUAAAGCUCAGU